rnacentral:rRNA from 1 species
UCUUUAGUUUUUAAUUUAAGAUCAGGCCUGCCCAUUGAUUUGAAAAAUUAAAAGGCUGCGGUAUUUUAACUGUACGAAGGUAGCAUAAUCACUUGUCUUUUAAUUGGAGGCUAGAAUGAAUGGUUUAAUGAGAAAUAAUCUUUCUUUUUUUAAUUUAUUUGAAUUUAAUUUUUUAGUUAAAAAGCUAAAAUUAUUUUAUAGGACGAGAAGACCCUAUAGAAGUUUACUACAUUAAUAAUUUAAAGGUUUAUGUUUUUGAAUUUUUUUUUUAAAUUAUGUAGUUUUGUUGGGGUGACAUUAAAAUUGAUUAAACUUUUAAUUUUUUUUUCAUUUAUAUAUGUUUUUUUUGAUCCUUUAUUUAUUGAUUAAAAGAUUAACUUACCUUAGGGAUAACAGCGUAAUUUUUUCGGAGAGUCCAUAUU